rnacentral:rRNA from 1 species
AUAAAAGUGUUGAAAAAAUCUUUUAUUGUAAGUAUUGUGAAAAACUAGAUAAAAUAAAAUUGAGAAGAAAAUAAAAUAAAUAAGUAGAAUUUAUUAAAAAAAGUUCUUUUUGUAUCAUGAUUUAUAGAGAUAAAAAAUAAAUUUUUAAUCCCGAAAAUUUUAGAGCUACUAUAAAUAAAAUGCUUGUUUCAAAAAGUUUUUAUAGUUUAUAGUAGGGGUGAUAUGCUUUUCGAAAAAAUUGAUAGCUGGUUGAAAGAUAAAUGCAUUUAAGUGCAGAGGUAAAAUAUAACACUAAGCUAUUUGAUCAAAUAGUUUAUUAUUUUUAUUAUUGAGAUUUACAGGGAUAAGCUUGUAAGUAUAAGUAGAAGUUUAUGAAAUGAAGUAGAAUUAUAAUUGUUUACCUUCUGAAAAUUUUUUAAUAAAGAGGUUGAUAAAAUACAAAGUUUGGUAUCUUUUAUUUUAUAAUAAUUUUUUAUGUAUUAUAAGUAUAGAAUUAGUAGCUAAAAACUAAAGGUUAAAUUAAAUAAAAAUAUUUUAUUUUGAUUUCAUAAAAUAUUGAAAAUUAAUAUUUUAAAAAGGAACUCGACAAAAAGAAUUUUUGCCUGUUUAACAAAAACAUCGCCUUUCGAAAUUAUAUUAUGGAAGGUCGGCCCUGCCCGGUGAUUUAUUUUAACGGCUGCAACUUGGUUGUACUAAGGUAGCGCGAUAAUUUGUCUUUUAAUUGGGGAAUGGAAUGAAUGGGUUGACGGAAAUUUAUUGUCUCUUUAAAAUAAAGCGAAGUUUCCUUUUAAAUGAAAAGGUUAAAAUUUUUAUAAAAGACGAGAAGACCCUGUCGAGCUGUAUUAAGAAAAACAAAUAUAAUUGGUUUUUUUGAAGUGUAGUUGGGGAAAGCUGGAUUUAAAAUAAUAAGUCUAAGAUAUAUGGACCCUUAUUGUGAGAUUAAAAGCAAAAGCUACCGCAGGGAUAACAGCGUAAUUUUUCUUGAGAGAUCUUAUCUAGGGAAAAGUUUGCGACCUCGAUGUUGGAUUAAAAAGACCUUUUGGCGCAGAAGCUAGGGGGGUAAGACUGUUCGUCUUUUAAAAUUUUACAUGAUCUGAGUUAAGACCGGCGUGAGCUAGGUCGGUUUCUAUCUUUAAUAAAUAUACCUGUUGUACGAAAGGAUCCAGGAUUAAAGUUUUUACUUUUUUGGUUAAUAAUAUUAAUCUCAAUGUUUGGUUAGCCU